UUGUUUAAGCAGAAGCGCCCGCUUCUCACCUGAUCGAUGAACAGUCGGCUGGUUGCGAUGAACGAAGUAUGUAAUUAACUUUGAUCAUAAGGAUGUGGGCCUUUGCGCCUGCAUCCUUUUUAUUAUGC
rfam:Paenibacillus swuensis strain DY6, complete genome.